AAAGUCGGAGGUUUGAAGAUGAUCAGAUACCGUCGUAGUUCGGACCAUAAACGAUGCCGGCAGGCAAUGCAGCAGUGGAGUUAUUCCCAUGACCCACCAAGCAGCUUCCAGGAAACUAAAGACUUCAGAU
rnacentral:ncRNA from 1 species